rnacentral:rRNA from 1 species
UACGGAGGGUGCGAGCGUUGUCCGGAAUCACUGGGCGUAAGGGCGCGUAGGUGGCCUGUGGAAGUCUGCGGUGAAAGCCCGGCGCUCAACGCCGGGUCGGCCGUGGAUACUCUCGGGCUCGAGCUCACUAGAGGCAGAUGGAAUUCCGGGUGUAGCGGUGAAAUUCGUAGAUAUCGGGAGGAACACCAGUGGCGAAGGCGGAGACCUGGGCCGAUACUGACGCUGAGGUGGCGAAAGCGUGGGGAGCAAACAGG